ACGAGGUGGUGGUUAGGGUUGAAGAUCAUUUCAGGUAGUUUCAGGACAGGGUUCCCUAAGGAAGCCAUACUUAAAUCAAGCAUUCUAAGAUGGGAAGAGUCAGGAGAGGGUGUUCCACUUAAAGGAAAUAACAAAAGGAGUUUGUCCUGAAGCAGAAAGGGUUUUCAUGUUCAAGAAACAAGGCCGAGAGUGACCGCAGCUGUCCAUCCUAGUGAGAAGAUAAGGGGUCAGAAAACAGAAAGUGGAGAGACUGCUGGUCCUGAGCUCAAACAUGGCUUCGGGUUGCAUCUGAAAUGCGGUGGGGAAAGGCUUUGAACUGUGAAGCAGGGGACGAUCUGGCACAUGCUGUAAAGUCUCUUUCAGCCAUGGAAAACUUUGGGCCAUGGUAUGUUGCAGCCAGAAGGUCCUCACCAGAAGCCAAACGAAUGCUGGUACCAUGCUCUUGGACUUCCCAGAAUCAGGAACCAAAUACACCUCUGUCGCUUAUCAGUUACUCCAUCUGCUGUGUCAUGACAGCCACACAGAAUAGACUAAGACACUUGGUAACCCCAUGACAAACACAUGGAUGUCAAGAAGGCAUUCAAGGCCCGGGGCAACAGUGGUGUUCGUGCACGCACCAACCACCACGGAGCAAUAAACCCACUGAAGGCUGGCAAGGGAACCCAGAGUGUGUCAAGGAACCCAGAGCAGAGGUGGGCGAAGCCUCGCGAGAAUCACCAUAUCCUGUUUGAGCCUCGCCCGCUUCUUCACUGGGUUCCCAGUGACUCACAGGAUCCACUCACCGAACAUGCACAGAUGGCGCCAGGGACAGGGGAGAGCCACGCAGGGCUGUAAAUCUCAGCGGCGCUAAUCCAGUCAGCAUAUGCUUAAUUAGGCAAGGGUGUGUUGGACUUCCACGCACAGAUAAUUGAAAUCCGUUCAGGAGAUGACUGGUUUUUUGUGUUUUAGAACGAUGAAAUAUACAUGUCUGGAAUUUUUAUGCUCCACUUCAUUUUACAGAAAAUAAGUUUAACCACAAUGCUAAUCCUUCUGAUCCUGUCUAAUAAAAGUAUUUAUUGUGUCUUUUAUUGCAAAGGCAA